GGUUCGGAGGGAGGUAUAUGUCUUCCACAUGGGAGAUGGGUACCGACCCUACCAAAGGAAUUGACGGGGGCCUGCACAAGCGGUGGAGCAUGUGGUUUAAUUCGAUUCAACGCGCAAAACCUUACCAGCCCUUGACAUAUGAAUAAGUGUGCUUGUCCUUAACGGGAUGGUACGAAAAUUCAUACAGGUGUUGCAUGGCUGUCGUCAGCUCGUGUCUUGAGACGUUGGGUUAAGUCCUAUAACGAGCGCAACCCUCGUUUUGUGUUGCUAAGACAUGCUUUGGUUCAAUCCUUGACCACUGGAGACUGACGAAGACUACGCCGUGAAAAUGGAGGAUACCGACGAGCUAAGUUUUUGCAAACGCCGUGUGGCUCAUUCUGAAAAGAAUAUGACCAUACAAAGUUUUUCAUAGAGUACUCUCCGAAGAGUACAUUGACACUGAGUUCCUCAGUCUUAGUCAAAAUGAUUGACACUCCAAGCCAUGUGCUGCACUCACAAAAAACUGCCAGUGAUAUACUGGAGGAAGGUGGGGAUGACGUCAAGUCCGCAUGGCCCUUAUGGGCUGGGCUACACACGUGCUACAAUGGCAAUUACAAUUGGAAGCAAUGCUGUAAGGCGGAGCGAAUCCAGAAAGAUUGCCUAAGUUCGGAUUGUUCUCUGCAACUCGAGAACAUGAAGUUGGAAUCGCUAGUAAUCGCGGAUCAGCAUGCCGCGGUGAAUAAGUACUCGGGCCCUGUACAAACUGCCCGUCAAACCAUGGGAAUUGGUUUCGCCCGAAGCAGCCGACCAAAGAUCACCCAUUACUCGAGGUGUUCCACGCCGUUGUUGAGUGUGGUCUACUAGAGUCAUUGGUGAUCUUAUGUAGGAGACCAAGGUUGGGCCAUUGACUGAGGUUAAGUCGUAACAAGGUAGCCGCAGGGGAACCUGUGGCUGGAUUGACUCCUUU
rnacentral:ncRNA from 1 species